rnacentral:misc_RNA from 1 species
GUUACGAUUGUCCUUAGCUGUUUAUCUUUUUAUGGGUUUGAGAAUUUGAGAUAGACUUCUUAAGGAGCUUGAGAAUCUGUACUUAAAGUUUCACUGGCAGUUGAACAAUAUUGUUUUUCUCUGUGUAUACAUUUAUAAUAUCCUAAAAGUUAUUCAUUGUUUUGGGACUACCAUUUUCAGCCGCCGCAAGUAGGAAAAUUUAUGCUUGAUAUUUGUGUAUGUUGACAUGAUUAUUUUAUGUGGUCUAGUGUCAUGUGCUAUUGUUUAGUCUAUGGAGUAGUUACAGGUAUUUUUUGAUACCCUUCCUUUUCAUUUUUGCAGAUGAGACAUUUCACAGCAUGAACA